GAGUUUGAUCUUGGCUCAGGACGAACGCUGGCGGCGUGCUUAACACAUGCAAGUGGAGCGACGAACCAGGGCUUGCCCUGGGGCAGAGCCGCGAACGGGUGAGUAACACGUGGGUUACCUGCCUCGAUGACCGGGACAACCCGAGGAAACUCGGGCUAAUACCGGAUGUGCCCGCAAGGGGAAGGAAGCUUCGGCCUCCGCAUCGAGAUGGGCCCGCGGCCCAUUAGCUUGUUGGUGAGGUAACGGCUCACCAAGGCUUCGAUGGGUAGCUGGUCUGAGAGGACGAUCAGCCACACUGGGACUGAGACACGGCCCAGACUCCUACGGGAGGCAGCAGUGGGGAAUCUUGCGCAAUGCGCGAAAGCGUGACGCAGCAACGCCGCGUGGGGGAAGAAGGCUUUCGGGUUGGUAAACCCCUUUCACGUUGGGUACGAAGCCUCGGCAGUGAAUAGCUGUCCGAGGUGACGGUACC
rnacentral:rRNA from 1 species